rnacentral:rRNA from 1 species
CGGACGGGUGAGUAACGCGUGGGUAACCUGCCUUAUACAGGGGGAUAGCAGUCAGAAAUGGCUGCUAAUACCGCAUAAACGCACAGGGCUGCAUGGCUCAGUGUGAAAAACUCCGGUGGUAUAAGAUGGACCCGCGUUGGAUUAGCUGGUUGGUGGGGUAACGGCCCACCAAGGCGACGAUCAGUAGCCGGACUGAGAGGUUGGCCGGCCACAUUGGGACUGAGACACGGCCCAGACUCCUACGGGAGGCAGCAUG